rnacentral:rRNA from 1 species
UACGGAGGUGGCAAGCGUUGCUCGGAUUCAUUGGGUGUAAAGGGUCGGUAGGCGGUUCUGUAAGUGCUUGGUGAAAUCCCGCAGCUUAACUGCGGAACGUUCAGGUAGACUGCAGAACUUGAGGGCUGGAGAGGCAGACGGAAUUCCCGGUGUAAGGGUGAAAUCUGUAGAUAUCGGGAGGAACACCAGAGGCGAAGGCGGUCUGCUGGACAGCAUCUGACGCUGAGCGACGAAAGCGUGGGGAGCAAACAGG